rnacentral:rRNA from 1 species
AUGCAGUCGACGGUAACGCGAGGAGCUUGCUCCUUGGCGACGAGUGGCGGACGGGUGAGUAAUACUUAGGAAUCUGCCCAUUAGUGGGGGACAACUCGAGGAAACUCGAGCUAAUACCGCAUACGCCCUACGGGGGAAAGCGGGGGUCUUCGGACCUCGCGCUAAUGGAUGAGCCUAAGUCGGAUUAGCUUGUUGGUGAGGUAAUGGCUCACCAAGGCGACGAUCCGUAGCUGGUCUGAGAGGACGAUCAGCCACACUGGGACUGAGACACGGCCCAGACUCCUACGGGAGGCAGCAGUGGGGAAUAUUGGACAAUGGGCGCAAGCCUGAUCCAGCAAUGCCGCGUGUGUGAAGAAGGCCUGCGGGUUGUAAAGCACUUUCAGUAGAGAAGAAAAGCCUAGGGUUAAUACCCCUGAGUCUUGACGUAACCUACAGAAGAAGCACCGGCUAACUCCGUGCCAGCAGCCGCGGUAAU